UUUGUGUUGGGAUGCAUGUGUUGGCAUCAGGAAUUAAUUCAGCAUUUCUCCUGCAUAUCAGGCUGACAGGAACUCGCUCAGACCGAAGGCAUGCUCCGGCACAUCUGACGUCGUGUCUUUGAGGGCGCUUCUCGUAGUGGUCCCAGGGAAAUGCCAGCCAACUCUGUGCUCUUUGGCAAGAGGACAGUGAUGCCAACAGGGUGGGUUGAUUAGCACAUGAGAGAUUCCAGCACAGCCUCAUCUAUCUGGAAAAGAGAAUGCAAAUGGAGAGAUUCACUGCAUGGAAAGGGCAAGAAUCACACACUAAAAGGCUGGAAUAUUCUCAGCAUCCUUGGAGCUGACUUAUGUGGGUGAAGAGAGGGUGCCAACAGCCAAGAGUGUCUCUGCAGCUAUGGGUAUGAUGGGAGGGCCCCUUGUUCAAGGGUAUCUCAACCAGUUUCAAGUAACCAGUGUGGUCUGUUCAGGUCAAUAUUAUGGACAGCAAUAAACAAGAGGACACUGUG
rnacentral:lncRNA from 1 species